AACGAACGCUGGCGGCAUGCCUAACACAUGCAAGUCGAACGAGACCUUCGGGUCUAGGGGCGCACGGGGGCGUAACGCGUGGGAACCUGCCCUUAGGUUCGGAAUAACUCCCCGAAAGGUGUUCUAAUACCGGAUAAGGUCUUCCGGCCAAAGAUUUAUCGCCUUUGGAUGGGCCCGCGUUGGAUUAGCUAGUUGGUAAGGUAAAAGCCUAACAAGGCGACGAUCCAUAGCUGGUCGGGGAGGAGGCCCCGCCAGGCUGGGACUGAGACACGGACCAGAACCGUACGGGAGGGAGGAGUGGGGAAUACUGGAGGAGGGGCCAAAGUCCGAUCAAGCCAUGUCGGGUGAGUGAGGAAGGGCUUAGGGUUGCAAAUUCGCCUUUCCCGGGACGAGAAUGACAGUACCGGGAGAAGAAGCACCGGCUAACUACGUG
rnacentral:rRNA from 1 species